UACCGUGAGGGAAAGGUGAAAAGCACCCCGGAAGGGGAGUGAAACAGUUCCUGAAACCGUGUGCCUACAAGUAGUUAGAGCCCGUUAAUGGGUGAUAGCGUGCCUUUUGUAGAAUGAACCGGCGAGUUACGAUUUGUUGCAAGGUUAAGCGGAAAAAGCGGAGCCGUAGCGAAAGCGAGUCUGAAUAGGGCGCAUAAGUAACAGGUCGUAGACCCGAAACCAGGUGAUCUACCCAUGUCCAGGAUGAAGGUAAGGUAAUACUUACUGGAGGUCCGAACCCACGCACGUUGAAAAGUGCGGGGAUGAGGUGUGGGUAGCGGAGAAAUUCCAAUCGAACUUGGAGAUAGCUGGUUCUCUCCGAAAUAGCUUUAGGGCUAGCCUCGAGGUAAAGAGUCAUGGAGGUAGAGCACUGUUUGGACUAGGGGCCCUUCUCGGGUUACCGAAUUCAGAUAAACUCCGAAUGCCAUGUACUUAUACUCGGGAGUCAGACUGCGAGUGAUAAGAUCCGUAGUCGAAAGGGAAACAGCCCAGACCACCAGUUAAGGUCCCCAAAUAUAUGUUAAGUGGAAAAGGAUGUGGGGUUGCUUAGACAACCAGGAUGUUGGCUUAGAAGCAGCCACCAUUGAAAGAGUGCGUAAUAGCUCACUGGUCGAGUGACCCCGCGCCGAAAAUGUACCGGGGCUAAACAUAUUACCGAAACUGUGGAUGAACCUCUUUAGAGGUUCGUGGUAGGAGAGCGUUCUAAGGGCGGUGAAGUCAGACCGGAAGGACUGGUGGAGCGCUUAGAAGUGAGAAUGCCGGUAUGAGUAGCGAAAGAAGGGUGAGAAUCCCUUCCACCGAAUAUCUAAGGUUUCCUGAGGAAGGCUCGUCCGCUCAGGGUUAGUCGGGACCUAAGCCGAGGCCGAUAGGCGUAGGCGAUGGACAACAGGUAGAGAUUCCUGUACCAGUGCUAAUUGUUUAACCGAUGGGGUGACACAGAAGGAUAGGGAAUCGCACGAAUGGAAAUGUGCGUCCAAGCAGUGAGUGUGAG
rnacentral:rRNA from 1 species